AGUUCGAGCACACCAAGUAAAAAUCACAAUUGUAUAGGUACAUGUUAGAGAUAAAGGACAAUCGACUGGAUGAACAACUUCUUCAUAGAGAAUAUAAUGGCAUAGCCUAUUUAGUCUAUUUUAUAGUAAAAAUGGAAUCAAACAUCCGAUGAAGAUUUUAGAAUGUCUAAUUUUCUUGGAUGAUACAAGUGAACAUGGUGGA
rnacentral:lncRNA from 1 species